GCGGAAGGAUCAUUAUUGUAUAACACGAGACAUUGAGGCUGUCGCUGACGAAAGUCGUGCACGCCUUGGUGUUCUUACAUCCAUUUCACCCUUGUGCAUCAUCGCGUGGGCCGUUCCCAUUGGGAAUGGUCUACGUUUUUAAUACAAACCCCUAUUGAUGUGUAGAAUGUGUACUUUGCGAUAACAACGCAACUAAUACAACUUUCAACAACGGAUCUCUUGGCUCUCGCAUCGAUGAAGAACGCAGCGAAAUGCGAUACGUAAUGUGAAUUGCAGAAUUCAGUGAAUCAUCGAAUCUUUGAACGCACCUUGCGCCCUUUGGUAUUCCGAAGGGCAUGCCUGUUUGAGUGUCAUUAAAUUAUCAACCUUGCUCGCUUUUACCGGCUUGAGUUAGGCUUGGACUUGAGGGCUUGCUGGCUUCCUUCAGUGGACGGUCUGCUCCCUUUAAAUGCAUUAGUGGGAUCUCUUGUGGACCGUCACUUGGUGUGAUAAUUAUCUAUGCCACUUGACCUUGAAGCAAACCUUAUGGGAACCCGCUCAUAACCGUCUUCGGACAGCUUUUGACAUUUUGACCUCAAAUCANGUAGGACUACCCCGCUGAACUUAAGCAUAUCAAUAAGCGGAGGAAAAGAAACUAACAAGGAUUCCCCUAGUAACUGCGAGUGAAGCGGGAAAAGCUCAAUUUAAAAUCUGGCGGUUCUUGUAGCCGUCCGAGUUGUAAUUUAGAGAAGUG
rnacentral:rRNA from 1 species